rnacentral:misc_RNA from 1 species
AAAUUUUUGACUUCCUUCUCUCAAUCUCAAUUCUCAAGAGUCUCUGGAUUUAAUUCAACAAAUCCCCUCCAUAAAUAAAUCACAAAUGAGUGUUCUUUUCUUCCUCCUGUUUACAACUGUGUUCUUUUCUCUCCGAUUUGCUGCCUCUUCUCCUGCUGAUCAUAGCUACAAUGUAGGAGAUCCUGUUCCUCUAUUCGUCAACAAAGUUGGUCCCUUGCACAAUCCCAGUGAAACCUACCACUACUACGAUUUGCCAUUCUGUCGUCCAGAUAAUGCAAUUCGAAAGAAAGAAACGCUUGGUGAGGUGUUGAAUGGAGAU